rnacentral:misc_RNA from 1 species
GAUGAAGAACGUAGCGAAAUGCGAUAAGUAGUGUGAAUUGCAGAAUUCAGUGAAUCAUCGAAUCUUUGAACGCACAUUGCGCCCGCUAGUAUUCUGGCGGGCAUGCCUGUUCGAGCGUCAUUUCAACCAUCAAGCUCCUUAGCUUGUGUUGGGGACCUGCGGCUGCCGCAGCCCCCGAAAUGCAGUGGCGGGCUCGUUGUCACACCGAGUGCAGUAAUCAUUCUUCUCUCCGGGCGUGGCGGCGGGUUCCGGCCGUAAAAUCACCAAUUUAUCAAGGUUGACCUCGGAUCAGGUAGGAAUACCCGCUGAACUUAAGCAUAUCAAUAAGCGGAGGA